UACAGGGGGGGCAAGCGUUGUUCGGAAUUACUGGGCGUAAAGGGCUCGUAGGUGGCCAACUAAGUCAGACGUGAAAUCCCUCAGCUUAACUGGGGAACUGCGUCUGAUACUGGGAGGCUUGAGUAUGGGAGAGGGAUGUAGAAUUCCAGGUGUAGCGGUGAAAUGCGUAGAUAUCUGGAGGAAUACCGGUGGCGAAGGCGGCAUCCUGGACCAUAACUGACGCUGAGGCGCGAAAGCUAGGGGAGCAAACGGG
rnacentral:rRNA from 1 species